AUACACACUAACAGACAAACAGUCAGACACACACACUAACAGACACACACUCACUAGCAGACACACACACAAACUCACACACACUAACAAACACACAUUAACAGACACACUCACUGACACACACACUCACUAGCAGGCACACACACACUCACUGACACACAGUCAGACACACACAUACACACUAACACUCACUAGCAGACACACACACACAAACUCACACACAC